rnacentral:rRNA from 1 species
AGUGAACGCUGGCGGUAGGCCUAACACAUGCAAGUCGAACGGCAGCACAGUAAGAGCUUGCUCUUACGGGUGGCGAGUGGCGGACGGGUGAGGAAUACAUCGGAAUCUACUUUUUCGUGGGGGAUAACGUAGGGAAACUUACGCUAAUACCGCAUACGACCUACGGGUGAAAGCAGGGGAUCUUCGGACCUUGCGCGAUUGAAUGAGCCGAUGUCGGAUUAGCUAGUUGGCGGGGUAAAGGCCCACCAAGGCGACGAUCCGUAGCUGGUCUGAGAGGAGGAUAGGCCACACUGGAACUGAGACACGGUCCAGACGCCUACGGGAGGCAGCAGUGGGGAAUAUUGGACAAUGGGCGCAAGCCUGGUCCAGCCAUACCGCGUGGGUGAAGAAGGCGUUCGGGUUGUAAAGACCUUUUGUUGGGAAAGAAAAGCAGCAGGUUAAUACCCCGCUGUUCUGACGGUACCCAAAGAAUAAGCACCGGCUAACUUCGUG